UGGCUCAGUGGUUAAGAGCUUGGCUGCUAAACAAAAGGUUGGUGGUUCGAAUCCACC
rnacentral:tRNA from 1 species